AGAAACCAGGUAUAUCCUUAAUUGUACAUGUAUCAGCUUUCUACAUGCCAAUUUUCACCAUACCUUUAAAGCCUUCUAACAAAAUAACUGACCAUCAAACAGAGGUACUCCAAAACAAAAACCUGGUUUUCUGGAAAUCUAAAAUUAGUAUACUAUGGAGCGCAUUAAUCCUCAAUUUUUAAUGCAAACUCAUAGACAAGUAAAUUUUGGCUCAAAAUGAUCUAGAUAUAUUUCUCUUUCACCAAAAGUUUCAUUUCUGCAAAUUUGUUGGUUAGUUUAAGUAAACAAGGACAUCAAAAGCACUAUUUUGUGUCAGAGUAGGGCUACUUUUACAUACGUUCUAAAUUGGAG
rnacentral:lncRNA from 1 species